rnacentral:rRNA from 1 species
UAUUGCACAAUGGGCGCAAGCCUGAUGCAGCGACGCCGCGUGUGGGAUGAAGGGGCUACGCCUCGUAAACCACUGUAGCCCGGGACGAAAAACGCCUUAGAGGCGUUAGACGGUACCGGGAAAGUAAGGGUCGGCUAACUACGUGCCAGCAGCCGCGGUAAUACGUAGGACCCAAGCGUUGUCCGGAUUUACUGGGUGUAAAGGGUGCGCAGGCGGAUGGGUAAGUCAGGGGUAAAAGUCUGCAGCUUAACUGUAGAAUUGCCUUUGAUACUGCUCAUCUUGAGUGUGGGAGAGGUUGAUGGGAUUCCAGGUGUAGCAGUGAAAUGCGUAGAGAUCUGGAAGAAGACCAGUGGCGAAGGCGGUCAACUGGCCCGUAACUGACGCUCAUGCACGAAAGCGUGGGG